UAUGUCUCCCCAAAUAGUAACUCUUCUGGUGGAAAUAUGAGAGUCAGUGGCAGAUAACUUGAAUACGAAAGUCUGUUGGUGAUACCAAUGAUUCAAUCCAACCAAAAAGAAAACUGGGAACUCUAAGCGUUAAAGGAAAGGCUUGAGGCAAAAUAUUAAAUUAGCUGAAAUUUUGCCAUCAGGUCCUGAGACUCUUAUUCUACCUUAUGUGUCUCCUCUUUCUAGAUUCCACUCAUGGGCCCAGAACAUUUUAUGCUGAAACUGCCUCAUACCUGUUCACAAGUGAUUUGAGUCCAUCUCCUCCAAACAAACAUUUAAAUCAGCCAAGUUUCAAUGACAGUGGUUCUCAAACUCCAGUGUGCCCUAGAAUCAACUGGAUGGCUUAUUAA
rnacentral:lncRNA from 10 species